UUUCUUUUUUUUAAUUUUUUUUUUUAGGAAAUAAAAAACGUGAGGUUUGUUGUUAUUAGGGAUGCAAAUGGUUCCGGUUCCGGGUUCCGGGUUCCGGAUUGGUAGAGCUCCCAUCCAGAUCCGUCCAGAAUGGGACGGUAAGUAGAUCUAGCAAUUUCUAUUCGUAUCGGUGGAUAUUUGUGGGUUAUCCACAAAUUUGUGGGUAUGGAUAUUAAAUUUUUUAGAAAAAACUUCAAAUAUUAUUUCUGUAAUUUCGUACUUUCUCAUUUUAAUACUUUAUGGUUUAAAAUGUAUCACUUUCGUACCCGAUGAUUUUAUUUUUCUCUUUUUAUUAUCCCCUCCUCUAAAUUUUUUUUUAAAAUUAAAACAAAAAGGUACGAAAGUGAAUAUUCGAUAAACUACAGGUGGGAUACCUGAAAUUUUUUUGGCAUAUAAUUUAACAAAAAAUUAAUGGAGGGACUGACGAACAGAAAAAAAUGAAACCAUAGGGUACUAAAUUGAUAGACUUUAAAGCACAUGGUACUAAAGUGAGAAAGUGCGAAACCAUAUGGAUGAUAUUUGAAGUUUACUCUUUUUAUAUCCAAAAAAUUAUGGAUAAAACUGAUGGUACCCCGUUAAGUUGUGGGUAUUUUUGGUAAUUCGCGGAUACGCAUAAAUACCCGCGUAUAUAUUUUUAAUUAAAAAUAUGUAAUUUUUAUGAUAUUGACUCUAUAAUCAUAAAAAAAUUAUUAAUUUUAUAUCACCACAAAAUUGGGAUAAUAAAAUAUUUUUAUAGUAUGUAAUUUAAGUGUUUUAAUAUUUUAUAUUGCUUAUUUUAUGUUGUGCUAUUUCAAAUAAUAAGUUAGGUUAUAUUUUUAAAAAUUAAAUAUAUACUAGUACAAUAACUCGUGUGAUGCAACGGAUAGAUAAUUGGAAAAAAAAAGAAGAAAACAACGACAAGAGAAGAGAAAACGGCGAUAGAAGAAGCGAUGCUGAGGGGUGGAAUUCAUCUUACUGAUGAACGAAGGCAACAGCCAAAGGAAGAGAAAGAGGAAUAGUUCGGCCUAAUACAAAAGUGUGAUUCGGUUCGGUUCAAGCUAAAAAAAAAAAAAGAAAACCCGGUUCAGUUCAAGCAAAGAAAGAAAAAAAAACUUCAAUCGGUUCGAGGUGAAGCCCACACUUGAUAGUGAUCAGUUCGAUUCAAGCAAAAAAAGAAAAAAUUUCAAUUCAAAGAUAAAAAUAUAUGGAGUAGUUGGGUCGGUUAGUCCCAAUGUAAUAGGUUGACCUGGUUCAGUUCAAGCAAAGAAAGAGAGAAACCAGAUUCGGUUUAAGUAAAGAAAGAGAAAUACAUGUGGAAGACUUGAACUGGUUCGGGGGAGCCCACACUCAACAAUGAUCGAUUCGGUUCAAGCAAAUAAAGAGAAAGGACUUGAGCCGGUUUAGGAUGGAGCCCACACUCAAUAAUAAAGAGAAUGUUGCCAUGUGGCAAAUUUAGGAGAAAUAAUGUAUAGGUAUAGAUAAAUAUAGAUAUAGAUGUGUUUUGCAUUUGUAACAGGAGCAAAAAAAGAUAAAAAAAAUCUUGCAGGUAACUUGCAUGCCCACCCGCGCUCCCGCCAACGGGUAUGGCUAUUCAAAAACUUGUGGGUAAAAUUUUAUCCAUGCUCAUGUGAUCUGCGGGUAGAAUGAUCCAUCCGUGGGUUAUCCAAUCCACUCGUUUGCCAAGUCUAGUGAUAAGUAAAAACAAAAAAUAUAAAAAAAAAUAUUAUCCAUUUCCAAUCCGCCCUAUUCUGCCAAGUAAAUGAAACGGUAAGUACAAGAUCCCCUUUUUUUUUAUCUGUUCUGAUUCGCUAAAAAUCAACUUUUCAGGCUCCCGAUCCAAUCAUUCCCGAAUGAGGCAGUAAGUGAAGGGCAAAAAUAAGAUUAAAAUUAUUCUACUUUGAAUCUGUUCCGACUUGACAAAAAAAUAGAGUAGAAUGUGAGGACUCUUGUUAUUAGGGACUGUGUUGCUUUUGUAUCGAUUUGUUGCAAAUUGCGCAAGGAAUAAAAUUGAGUUAUGAACUAUUAUCCCCCAUAGAAUUUGAAAAUUAUAUUAUAUAUAUAUUAGGUUUAAAUAUGGAAUAAAAUUAGGAUACUGCUUCUGCAUUGUUUUCAGGAUAUUUAAAUUAACGAGCUAUGCAGUUAAAUUUGAUUUGGACUGUUUGAACUUUCUAGUUUUUGAAUUUUACAAUUAUAAAGUUAUAAAACGUCAGUUAUCUAGUGAUUAAGUGAUCUCAAAUUACCGACUGUCUCUGACACAAGUGACAAAGGGCUUGAUGGUUGAUACCUGAGAUCCCCAGUUCGAAUCCUAGGUGAUUCGCAUUCCCAGCUAAUUUUAUUUUUAAAAGAAAUAAACGAAGCGGGUAGCAUGUUACCUGUCUCUCUUAGAAAAAAAAGUGAUCUCAAAUUUAUUUUAUAUUAGUCACUAAAAAUUAUUAAUUUACCUAUCUCUUUCGAGAAAAAAAAAAAAGGAAGUGAUCUCAAAUUUAUUUUAUAUUAGUUACUAAAAAUUAUUAAUUUUGAACUAUUUGAAAAUUAGGUACAUGAUAUCGUAAAAUCAUAGAAUUCAAACUUAAGAAGUUUAUAUAGCCUAAAUUAAAUUUAAUGACUCUGAUGCAUUAAUGCAAAAUAAAAGCUGAGCAGCAAAAUUUUUUAAGUAUUAAGACUUUAAUAUUUCCACAUUUCCUUUUAUGAUUGAACAUUCAAAUUGAUGAUUGAUACCAUUGUCUAUGAUCUAAGGUUUUAAUUUAGUUGAGUAGUAACCAAAUUUUAUUAAUUCUAAAAAUUAUUUUUUAACUAAUCAAGUGGUUUCAAAAGUGAAUAGUCAAAGCUGAACAAUCUUUUAAAAAUAGAGAAUAGAAUCUUUCCAUUCAAAAUGGGAAUUGUAAAUUUUGAUAUAGAUAGUUAAUUAAAAGCGUUUACAGUAAAAAAAAAAAUUUAGGCAUUUGAAUUAUUUUACACCGUUAAGCGAGUUAUUUUAUACCGUUAAACGAAAAACACCUGAUUUAAAUAGCAAAAACACCUGAUUUAGGUGACAUGAUAUCAGAGCUAACUUUAAACCACUUUAUUUUCUUUAAUCGUAAGUUUGGUUGCAUGGAAUGAACGAUUUCAGCGAUUUUCAUUCGGACAUCAUUUUAAGCUAAAACUUUUAAUUUCAUGUUGGAAUGAGAAUUUUCAACAAUGCUAUUUUAAGCCUAUAAGUUUCCGAUCUGUUAUCGUAAAUAGCAAUGCUCCUGUACUCUUAAAAAUAUUGGUGUAAAACUUAUAUUUUACUCCCGUAAAGAUCAAUAUUUUCAUACUAAUCUUAUCAAUAUUUUUUUAAUAUUAAAAAAUUUAUCUGGAUAGAUGUACAUCUUAAACUCUAUCAUUCAAGAGUUUAAAAUUUAUUUAUUUAUCUUUUAAUAAAUAACGUGCUAUCGCUUUAUUCAGUGAAAAAAUGAUAGGAUUGAGACAACUAUAUACAUGUCCAAUGACCUAAAAAGUUACACAAAACAACAAAAGAAUGCUACCAAACAAUGUUCCCAAAAGAUUUUACUUAACCUUAUAUUCUUUCCAAAACCUCCUGAGAUAUCUAAGUACAACAAUUGUCCCAAGUUAUUUUUCCUUUUAGAUUUAUAGCAUUAAAUUAAAAAAAAGGGUUGAUAAUACAAGUAGAUAAAAAUAUGAAUAUAGACAAUAACUUAUAAGUAGCACUGCUCUAUUAAAAAUUUGGAUAAACUUUAAAUACCACCUCUGUGAUUUCGUAUUUUUUUACUUUAGUAUCAUAUAGUUUAAAGUGUAUCAAUUUAAUAUUCUGUAAUUUUAUUUUUCUCUUUUCGUCAGCGCCUUCAUUAACUUUUCAUUAAAUCAUAUGCAAAAAACUUCAGAUACCCCUCUAAUAGUUUAUUGAAUAUUUACUUUAAUACCCUUUAGUUUUAACUUUAUCACUGAUUUAACGAAAAUAAUUAAUAAAAAGGAUAACAAAAAGAGAAAAAUAAAACUAUAUGAUACAAAAGUAAUACACUUUAAAUCACAGGCUAUUAAAAUGAGAAAGUACGAAAUCACAGAAGUAAUAUUUAAAAUUUUUUCUAAAAAUUUAAAAGAAUUGUCGAAAUUCUUGGAUGGAUAGCAAAAAAAAGUUUACAUUUUUUUUUUUUUGAAAUGUACUAAUAGCAUUUCUCUAUCGUAAAUUACUUUAUGUUUAGUUUAAUAUUAAAUGCUAACUUUUACACGUACUUGUGGAUGGAAUUAUCAUAGCAGAAAAAAUAAAACGAUAGAAACUUGCUAACCACUGAUUAGACAAUGUUGGAAAACGUUACUUUAUAAGUAGAAAAAGUGUUAUCCCUUACAUGUAAUUUAUUAGUUUGCACUCAAAGUGCCUUUUUUUUAACUGAAUUUUGGAUUAGUUAUUCUUUUUGGCGAGCUUUAAAAGGGGCUAUUUGGUUCUCCGAAAAAGUGUAAAAUUUUUUUUUUCUGAGAUAUAGGAAAUUUUUUUCGUAGUUCUUCGCCGGCUUUGUUGAAAGAAAAAUAGCUUUUGUGGUGUUUUCGUUUUUAAAAAAAAAAAAUGAAAAGGAAAACUCUAGUUUCUUGUAUAAGUCGGAAUUUUCUUUUUUUCAAAAAUACUAGUUUUUCUUCAAACCAAAUGGACGAAAACUUAAAACGAAGUUUUCCAUGAAAUUUUUUUUUUUUGAAAAAUUUUUUCCAUACCUUUUUUGUGAGAUCAACAAGUCCAUUUGGUUCAACAGAAAACUUUGAAAAAUAAUUAUUUGUGAAAAAAAAUUCAGUGAAAAAAGAUAUUAUGUUUAUAGUGUUUGGUUUGUAGGAAAAAAAAGUAAUUUUUCAUUAACAUUUAUUUGGUUGAAAGAAAAAAAUUCAUAUUUAUUUGGUUUGGUGGAAAAAAUUGAAUAAAAAAAAUUUUAGGCAACUUGUGUUUUCGUUGUUCAUCGAAAAAUGGUGGAAAAUAAAAACUUCAAUUUUUCUCCAAAUCUGUAAAAGUAUUUUUAUAAUUUUUUGUAAUGCAAAACAAAACAAGCAGAAAAAUAUUUUCAUAUCAAAAUAACUUUUCAGUUCAUUUUACGCAGAACUAGAUGCCCCCUGAGCGAAAAAUCAGUAGUUGCACCGAAUUUCUCUAAAAGAAGCAAUUUAAUCACACACAAUUAUGAGUACACUAUACUUUUAGAUGUAUAUAUAUUCAAAUAUGCUGUUUGAUUUUAUAUAUUUGUGUCUAUAGUUAGAAAUUUAGAAUUGUGAGUAGAGAUGACAAUUUUUUCUGUAGACCUCGUCAAAAUCGAAUGUGGAUAAAAAUGCUACUCUCCGUCCUGCAAAAUCUAUGAUCCCCGUAAAAUAUAUAAUAUAUGAUUACAUAGGUAGAUUGCUAAUUUUGAUCCUUUUAGUAUAUAUUUAAUUUAUUCAGAUAUUUUUAACAUAUUUAAUAUUUCAUACAAUAUAUUAGCUAAAUAAUAUUUGAUUGUUAUAUAUUUUUAAUAAUUCAAUUUGUUAUACUUAAUAGUUUAAAAUAAAUAAAAAAAUAAUAUUAAUAAUUGAACAAAAUUUAAAUUAAUUUGAAUUAAAUUUAAUUAAAUUUUAAAUAAAAAAUAAUUUAAUUUUUUUUAAUAUGCAGGGUUCCAAUAGGGACCGGGACAAAUUAAGACCCUAUUUACCUAUAGGGACGGGACGAAAAAUAGUCUCCAUUCUUAAUUAUAAUCAAUUUUGAGCGUAAUUUUAACUGUUGCUGUAACGUCCCUAAUAAUCCCACAUCGGAUGGGAUACUGAUUCCAAUCAGUUUAUAUGAGACCUACACGCUAAUAAUAAUAACCGGACUUAAGCAUUUUGGGCCGGUGGUUUCGCCCAACGAGUUAUUAUUGCUAGCGGGUAGGGUCGUUGCAAUUGGUAUCAGAGCCGAAUACCGGCCGGAAGUAUGAGAGCUUGUCUGUGAUCUGAUUGACGUCAGGGUCUAAACAAGUGGUUUGGGCCCAACGAGUUAUUGUUGCUUGCGGGGAGUUUGACGUCAGGGUCUAAACAAGGGGAGUUUGUAAGCCGGUGGUUUGGGCCCAACGAGUUGUUGUUGCUAGCGGGUCGGGUCGUUGCAGCUGCACAUCAUAUUAAUGUAGAUAUAUUUUUUAUAUAGUUGAGUAGAACAUCAAACAAGGGGAGUUUGUAAGCCGGUGGUUUGGGCCCAACGAGUUAUUGUUGCUAGCGGGUCGGGUCGUUGCAGCUGCACAUCAUAUUAAUGUAGAUAUAUUUUUUAUAUAGUUGAGUAGAACAUCAAUACUACUAAGAUGAUAAUAGCUAGAGAGAGAGAGACAUAGUUUCUUAGCUACUUUUUUCUUGUUGAAUGAUCACUAUAAUGCAAUAAUAGUGAUAUAGUUAUUAUUACUAUUAUUAUUAUCAUCAUCAUUAAUUCACAAAAAAUCUUGAGAUAAAAUUUUAAUAUGUUGGAUGUUAUCUACAAAUUAAAUAUGAUUUUCGCAUAAGUGAUCAUAAGAUUUAAAAAUCUACUAUUAAAACAUUAAUAGUCACAAAAAUUAACAGUGCUAAAAUGCUUAUCGUUGUUUAAAUAAUUAAAAUAACUAUGAAACAUGAAAAGUUUUUAGUCUAAACUUUAAUUAGGGGAAUUGAUAAUUUCAGAACAAAGUUUGAUAUUGUCAGAGCAAAAAAUCUAAAUAUGAUUAGAAACGUAUUUACUCUGGCAAUAUCAAAUUUAGCUCUGAAAAUAUUAAUUUUUUUUAAUUAGCCCCUAUAUUUGUCUAUAUUACACUUUAUUAUCUUGUGAUAUAAAAAAAUUUUCUAUGGUUUUAUAUUUAUUCAUUAUAAAAAACCUUUCAUUAAAGUCGGUGGCAAAGUGUUUUAUAUUACAAUAUAGUAAAGUACAGAACAAAUUAUAAGUUACUAAAAUACUAUAGACUAAAAUAUAGAAAAUUUUCUAUAAAUCUUCACUUUUGCACUUUUUCCCCUUACCUUUUAAAAAUCUCUAUUUUACAUUUUUAAAAGUUAAAAUUAUAGUACUUAAUCUCGCAUUGUUACUAUUUCGUCACCUAUCCAUUAUAUAUUGCUAUAAUUUCUAAGGAUAUAUAUAGUUGGUAUCCGAGUAAGUCAGUUGUAGUACACAAUUUAUUCACAGAGAAAUGAGAAAAUAGUAAUGGUACUAAGUUAAGUGCUUCCAUUUAAAAAUUUAAGGAGCAAAAUAGAGAUUUUGAAAAAAAAAAAAAAACAAAAUAAAGUGCAAAAAUACAUAUUUAUAAAAAUAUUUUCUGUAUUUUAGAAAAUAUAUUGGUAAAAUGUAUUGUUUUAUUAUUCUUUAAUUUGCAAAUCAUAUCAUUUUCACACCAAAUCUAGUAAUAGGCCUUUAUAAUAAAUUAUAAAUAAAACUAUAUGAUAAUAAAGUAAAAUAUUUCAAACAUAGGGUGACCAAAUAAAAGAAAAUUACUCUAAACAUAAAUACUCUAAACAUCUGGAGACAAUAUAUUUAUCUCUCAAAGUAUUGUAAAUCACGUUUAAUAAUUUUAAAUUUCAACUUAAGAACUUUCAAAUUUGUCACCUAUCUAUAGAACAUGGUCUACGCAAUAAUUUCUCAAAAUAAGGGUCUGCUUCGAUAUCUUGUAAUUUUAUUGUAGAGUAAUUAUAUACAUAGUAUAUGUUCGAUAAAUUCGGACACUACAACAUUUAAUAAAUAUAGAGGUCUACAGAUUUGAGCUCUUUUUAUUUUACGACAAAUUCAUAAUAUUAUUUGAAUAUUUUUGUUUUUCAAUAUCCAAAAAAGCAUUCAAACAUUCCUUUAUAAUUAUAAAUAUUAUUUUUAAUAAUAUAAUAAAAAUACUCUAAAUUUUUAGUGACGAACGCACAAUUACAAAAAAAAAAAAGAAAAAGAGGUCCCAUUCUUUGUCUCUUCUAGGAGAUUCUACUCAUGCUAAUUACAAAUAAAAUAAAAAAAAAAUCAGAGUCCAUUUUUUAAAAUAAUCGUGGUAAUUUAAAUCCCAAUUGGGUCACUUAUUACACUUGAUUUUUUAAAAAAAAAUUUCUACGAAACCUAACUGUAGUGUCCCUGAUGUUUGGUUGUCUGUGAGUUUUCAGCAUCUAAGUCUUGUCGACACAUCUGAAGAGUGUCGGGACAAGUUAGAAUCAUUUUGGCGCGAAAUAGAUGCAAAACGGACUCAACGCGAGGCGAGAGUGGAGUUCUAACAUUGAAAUCCGCAAAGUGCAGAAUUUCAGUGUUAAGUAUCGGUACCAGAGAGAGGUACCGGUACCCCAGUGGAAUUACAGAACAGGAUGCUCUCGGGUUUGCGUAUCGGUACCAGAGAGGGGUACUGGUACCCCAGUGGAAUUACAGAAUAGCAUGCUCUCGGGUUUGCGUGAGGGGAUACUGAGUACCAUCUGACCUGUCGAGUACCAGUAUCGAGCCCGGGUACCGGUACUGUAUCGGGUUGGUACCGAUACCCAGUGUGCGAGAUUGCGGGCUGAAGGCCCGAGUACCGGUAUUCCGGUGGAUUACCAGUACUCCAGCUGGAUUUUUGAGUUGGUGAGGGCAGUUUGGUCUUUCGAAUUGACGAUCAACCCAAUAUUUAUCCUUAGCCCUUAUAUAGGUGUAGAGAGCUCAGAGAGGAAGACUUUUAUUCUACUCCCUCUCUCUCUCUAGUUUUGGACGUAACUCGUGGUGAAGGUUGCGGCUCGAGCUCAGGUGAUUUUCGACGUCGAUACGGAAGGUCGUUCGAGCGUGUGUGCGUAGCAGUUGCGCCAUUGGAGGCCGGGCAAGCCCGUGGAUUUCCUCCUUUCGACUUCUCGCCGUGGUUGGACGAGCUUUUUGAGGUGGAUUGAAGUUUACCGAAAUCAUCGGAUUUCCUCCUAAGUCGAGUUUUUGUCAGCAUGUGUAUUUCUUGUGUAGUAUCAUGUUAGUAGUUCAAUUCACCGAUUUGCAUAAUUUUUUAUGAAAUAUGAGCUGGAGCUUUAAAUUCUAAAUUCGUUUUACAUGUUGGACUUGGAAUUGAUUUAGGAGAAAAUUAUUGAACCCUACACUGUCAUUUUCUAAAUAUCAGAAAUAUUUUGGAAUGUUCCCUUUUAGUGAAAAUCUAUAAACAUUUGUUGCAUUCAUUCUAUAAUUAUACUUUUACCACCUAAUAAAAUAAAAACUUAUGCUGUUUAUUAUCAGAAAAAUAAUUUUCAUAAUUUUAACAAAAUUUUUAAAUUGAAGAAUAAAACAACAAAAGUGAUAGAUCACACAUACUUAAUAAGAAAUUAUAAAAAAACGAAAGAAUUACCUACAAAAUUAAAAGCUAUCUAAAUCAUGAAAGAAAUAAAAAAAUAAUAUGUACUAAUAUAUUGUUCUACAAGGAAGAGAGAAGAGUCAAAGUUAUUAUUUUAUUAAUUUAACUGGUAUUUAACUCCCUUUUAACACAGCCUAAUUUAGUGUUUAUUAACAAAUUUAACAAUAGGAGCAUUUAUAGUAAAUUUAUAUAUUUAGAGAUAUAUGCAUAAUGUUUAUAAAAUUUUAAAAGGUUAAAAAUUCUAGAAAUUUGCUGUAAAUUUCUUUUCUUUUUUUUUUUCAUCCCGACAUUUAAAAACCUACCUUUUGUAAGUUCAAAAUUUUAAAUAAAAUGAUCAAAUUGCCCAUAUGUCUGUCAUAAAGGAAAAAAAAAUAAAAUUUUAAUAUAUUUCUAUUAUUUUAAUAAAUAUUUCUUGUAUAAAUUAUAUUAAAUAGAUAAAACAGUGACGAAAUCCUGACGAACGUAAGAUAAGUGCAUCAACUUAAAAUUUGGCCAAUUUGCAUAAAAAAUCCACUUAUUUUGGGCUUUUGCAAAACCGGGCCACCUUUUUCGUUUUUGCAGAUUCGGUCCGCUUUUUCAGCAAACUAACCAAAAUACCUUUUUUACUUUUUCUCUUUCCUCUUUCUCUCUCCUCUUCGUUUCUCUCGUUCUUUUUUUUUUUCUCGCCGGCAGAGCGGCGGCGGAAACGGUCCGUCUUGCCUCUCACCCUCAUUCUCUCGCCCUCGCCCUCGCCCUUGCCCUCGUCCACGCACCCCUCACCUUCCUCGCCUCCAACCCCGCCAAGGCCGCGCAACGACUUUUUUUUUUUUUGCUUUUUUCUUUUCUUUUCUUCUCCGACUCUUCUCCACCGUCUCCGACGACGACGCCUCUCUCGUCCUUCCCCGCCCUUCUCAUCUCUCCCUCUCCCUCAUUCUCUGCGCCUUCCGACGACGGCAUCUUCGCCGCGCCGACGUCGACGUCGACGUCGACACCGUGGAGGUCACUGCGGCGCUAUAGCGUCGGAGCGGGGUCCUUAGCGGCGUCGUUGCAGCACCGUGGCUGUUGGCAGAAAGGGUAACAAAAAAAAUUAUAGAAAAAAUAGAAAAAAAAAAAUAAGAUAAAAAAUUAUAAAAAAGAAGGUGAACAUAAAUUGCAUCGCUUAACUGUAAAAAAAUUAUAAGUUGCACUACUUAAGAUGUAAACUGCAGCUUUAAGAUGAAAACUACACUAUUUAAACGAAAAUUACACUCUUUGAGAAAUAUUUACACUGUUUUUCUUCUUAUUACACUCUUUUAGAUGUAAACUGCAUCCAUUAAAAUGAAAGUUACACUCUUUAAACAAAAAGUUGGCACAGUUUCUCCUCUUGUUCACCAUUUCUUCUCUUGUUACACUAUUUUUUAUCUUAAACUGCGCACCGUUAAGGAUAUUUAUACUAUUUCUCCUCUGUUUGUUUUGCAUGUCUCCUCUUGUUGCACCAUUUCUGUGUAAACAGAGAAGAAAUAGUGCAAUAAGAGGAAAACAGUGCAACAAGGGAGAAACUGCACUGUUUUAAAAGAUAUAUAUACUGUUCUCUCCUUGUUGCACCAUUUCUGUGUAAACAAGAGAAAAAAUAGUGCAACAAGAGGAGAAACUGUACUGUUUUAAAUAUAUAUCUAUCUGUUCUUCUCUGUUUGCACUGUUUCUCCUCUUGUUGCACCAUUUCUGUGUAAACAAUAGGAGAAAUAGUACAACAAGCGGAGAAACAAUGCAAAUGAGAGGAAAAACUGCACAUUUUUAAAGAUAUUUAUACUGUUUCUCCUUUUGUUGCCACUGUUUCUCCUCUUGUUGCACCAUUCUGGUGUAAACAAGGGAGCAAAUAGUACAACAAGAGGAGAAACAGUGCAACAAGAGGAGACACAGUAUAAUAUAUUAAAAGGUGCAGUUUAGGAUAAAAAAUAGUAAAAUUUUCGUAUCAAGAGUAUAAUUUUAUCUUAAAGCAGCCAGUUUAAUCUUAAAAGUGCAACUUUAUAAUUUUUUUUGUAAUUAACGAUACAAUUUCAUCUUCAUCCUUUUUUUAUAUAAUUUUUUAUCUUUAUUUUUUUCUGUUUUUUUUAUAAUUUUUUUUGUCACCUUCUCUGCCAACAGCUACGGCGCCUGUGACGACGCCGCUAAGGACCCCCUGCUCCGAGGCUGUAGCGCCGCAGUGACCUCUACGGUAUUGACGUCGGCGCCGGCGAAGAUAAAUCGUCGUUGGAGGCGGCAGAAAAUGAGGGAGAGGGAGAGAUGAGAAGGGCGGGGAAGGGCGAGAGGCUUCGUCGUCGGAGACGGUGGAGAAGAGUCGGAGAAGAAAAGAAAAGGAAAAAGCAAAAAAGAAAAGUCGCGUCGCGGCCUUGGUGGGGUCGGAGGCGAGGAAGGUGGGGGGUGCACGGACGAGGGCAAGGGCGAGGGCGAGAGCAUGAGGGUGAGAGGCGAAACGGACCGUUUUUGCCUCCGCUCCGCCUACGCUCUGCCGGCGAGAAAAAAAAAAAACGAGAGAAACGAAGAAGAGAGAAAGAGGAAAGAGAAAAAGUAAUAAGUGUAUUUUGGUCAGUUUGCUAAAAAAACGGACCGAAUCUGCAAAAACGAAAAAGGUGGCCCAGUUUUGCAAAAGUCCAAAAUAAGUGAAUUUUGUAUGCAAAUUGGCCUUAAAAUUUUUAGGGAUAAAAUAAAAAUUUUUAAAACUCAAAGAAGAAAAAUAAAAAAGUGAAUAUUUAUUUUCUAAAAAAUAUUUCAAUAGGCCUACAAUUGCUCCCAAAACAAAUAUUAAAAAAAGGGUUAAUUUCACAUAGGUCUUUGGAAAUAUAGUAAAUUCAAAUAUAUUUCUACAAAAUUCAACUUUCAUAUAUUAUCCCUAUAAAAGUUCUAAUAUUUUCAAAUAUGUUCUCUCUGGUUUGUUAUUGUCAAAAUACAAUUUUUUUUAUAAGUGAAAUGAUCUUUUUGCCAUCAUAAAUAUAUUCCUCCAAAAGUCUCAACUAUUAACUGAAAAGUGGUAAAAAGGUUAAUUCACCUCAUUAACUAACUAUGGUUAAGUAUUUUAUCUAUGGUUAAUAAAUUUUUUCUAACAGAUUCUAACUGCAUGAACAUAUUUGAAAAUAUCAGGACUUUUAGAGUGACAAUAUAUAAAAAUUAAAAUUUAUAGGAAUAUAUUUAUAAUUCACUAUAUUUGGAAGGAUCAGUAUGAAAUUAACCCUUAACAUAACAUACAGGGACAUGAUUGGGGCUGGGAGCAAUUUCGUAAAUAAAACUAUAUUUAGGGACAAUGUUGAAAACAGGGGUACUUAUGAGAUUUUGGGGCAUUGCCCGGUUGCCCCUAGAAUCGUGGGGUCAACCCCAGAGUUUAAGUUGUACCCGCACCACACGACCUAUGUGUGAUUUCACAAGUGGGCGAUCCGAGGUGAAUUAAUGCCCGAAAUGACUGAAAUUACUAAAUUACCCCUCAAUUCUGGCUUAUAUCUAGGGACAAAAAUUUGCUGGGCAUCGUCCCAAACUAUUUAGUUUGUGAACGAUGCGGAUGGGUGCCACGUAGCCCAUCUGACGGCACCGAUAAAAGAAAAGAAAAAAAAAAUUGAUGCCCUAUGUUUAUAAAGAGAGAGAGAGAGAGAGAAAAAGCAGCAGAAAGAGAGGAGGGCGACCGUCAGAUGGGCCACGUGGCGCCCAUCCGCAUGGUCCCCAAACUAAUAGUUUCGGGGCGCUGCCCUUUUGUCCCAUAUUUAGGAACUAUGUGGUCUAAGAUAAAAAAAGAUUAAAAAAAUUUGAUUGCUACGAAAUUAAAUUGUGUUUAGAAGAAUUGAUUUUGCUUGAAACUGUAGAGUGUUUAGCUAAAUCUAGCAGAACACGACUUUUUUGAAACGAUUUUAUAAAGCAAUUUAGCAAUUUUUUUUAUUCUUUACAAUAAUAAUUAUUUGGCUGAAUUUUAUUUUAAAAUCUGAAUUAAAAAUUUUAAUUUGCCAUUUGAAUUUUAAAAAUUUAAAUUUAAAAUCUAAAUUACAAUUUAAAAUGACAUUGAUAGUUAAAAUCUAAAUUUUAAAUUUUAAAUUUUAAAAUUUUAAAAUUUUAUUUUAAAUUUUAAAUUUGAAAAAUAUGAUUUUAAAUUUUAAAUUUCAAAUAUUGAAAUUUAGAUAUUAAAUUUCAAUAUUUACAAUUUUAUAAUUUUAAUUUUUUAUUUUAAAAUUUGAAACUUAAAUUUAGAUUUUAAAUUUUAAAAUUUUAAAAUUUAAAUCUAAAUUUUAAAUUUCAAAACUUUAAAACUAAAAAAAUUUAAAAUUUUCAUUUUAAGCUUCAAACUUAAAUUUUAUAUUUAGAUUUUAAAUUUCAUGUUUUGAAUUUUAAAUUUUAAGCUUUCAAAUUUAAAAUUUAUAUUUUAAAUUUAACAUCAAAUUUUAAAUUUUGGUUUAUUUUAAAAUUCAAAAUUUUUACUUUUUAUGUCAAAUUUUAAUUUGAAUUUAAAUUUUAAAACAAAAUUCAACAAGAAAAGUUAUUAUUUGCCAGCAGCAAAAAGAUUUUGCCAAUCAACUCUAUAAAAUUAUAUUAAAAAUAUCGGUUUCAUGUUAAACUCAGUCAAAGGCUCUACAGUUUUUACUUAAAAUUAAUUCUUCAAACUAAAAUAAAUUCUACAGAUAUUAUUUUUUCAGAUUUAGGCCAAAUAACUCCUAAAUCUUAUACCCUAGCCUUCUAAUGAUCCAUACUAACUAACUUGUCUUAUCAUUUUUUAUGUUUAACUAAAACAUCAAGGGUACGUUUGGUUCAUCUUUUUUCACUUAAAAUUUGAAAUUGGAAUAGAUGAUUCCAUUUUGUAGGUGUUUAGUUUAAGGAGGUUAGUUGGAUCGAGAUUUUUUCAAUCACUCCUUUUUUUAAUCCAACCUCAGAGGCACGAUUGGAAAUUGAAUCCAAAAAUGAAUACUUGCUCCAGAAUUAUCUAAAUUCAAUUUUUUAACUUAAUUGUUAAUUAAAAUAUAAGUUUAAAUUCAAAAUUGAAUUUUUAAUUUUGAUUUGGUACAUAAAUUAAAAUUUAAAUUCAAUCAAGCAAUUUGAAUUUGAUCUAUAAAUUUAAAUUUUACGUUCAAAUUGAAAAUUUCAAAUUUUAUUUUAAUUUUAUAUUAAAUUUAUGGAUUUAGAUUGGAAUUUAAAUUAUAAUUUUUAAGUUUGAAUUUGGAUCAAAUCAUAAAUUUGUAUUACGUUUUGAAUUGUCAACUCAAUUUUAAAUUUUAAAUUUUUAAAAAUUUACAUUUAUGUCACGUCCCAGAUUGCCACGUUUCUCCGGGCACGCUAACAGACUCGCCGUAUAAACAGGAAUUUUUCGUGUAUACGAAGCGAUAGCUGUACCUAUAUAAAGAAUAUAGCUGCACAUGAGGUAAAGAGCUGCUAUAACUAAAACAUGUAUAUAAAACAUAGAGGAUCCAAUGUACAUACAAAAGCUCCGAAUCAACCUCACUCCAGCGAGUACACAAUCCAACAGUAUGUACAUGAACCUCAAAACUAUCUUUGAUGGGCGCUUCUCUAGCAAACGACCAGGGCUGGUAGGAGUUUAGCUCGCGAUUCUCUUACCACGGUCGGAAACAGCAACAGCAGUAGCCGCAGAUAAAGGCUCUACAAAAAGGUGGUAACAACUGGAUGUGAGAACUACUGCAAAAUAGAGUAGUUCUUAGUGGGUACCGUCACCGACCUCAACGGCCCACCCACUAAGUCUACAGCAACAAUAUGUACAGGAUAGUAAGGAAAGUUGGAAAGAACUCUACAGCUACAUGCCCCUAUACUAUCGCUACCAAAAUAAGCUAUCUGUAGACAUAAACAAGCAUCACUAGCUACCACUGACCCAAUCUCACACGAGCUGCCCAAACAGACCCACCCUGCCUAUAAUCAAGCUAUACCGCACGCCACCCACAGGGAUGGCCGGUUCAAGUAAACUAUCCAAACAGGACUGCUGCGAUAUCAACGCAAGUCAAAGGCUCACUCCGGAGCGACACUCGUGGGCGCGACCCAACUAAGUAUGCAAGCGUGUCUCUGCCGAGCUCAAACAGCCUCACACAGGCUAUAGUCAAUGCAAAUGGGUUAAACUGGUCUAACAAAUAAAGCUCACGUACCCUUGGCACAACCUGAUACAAAAUACAAAAAUCUGGGUCCACCGUCGGUCCCGACGGCAUCCGACAGUCUAAUACAGUCUAACUCUACUGUAAAAACAUACUCGGCCCCUCAGCACGAGCGUAAUCUUAACCUGCACUAGUCUGGAUAUCCACCUCACACUAACAGCAGUGAUACAAAAGAACAACAGCUCCUAAAGCUAAAUUCGGUUACUUUUCGAAAAGUAACAGUGUAGGUUUAGCAAAUUUUCUCCGAAGUCAAUUCCAGGUUCAGCAUAUAAUUUAACUAAAUUCUAGAUUAUGCUCCCAAAACUCAUAUUUCAUAAAACAUGCAAAUUCUGAAUUUGAGCUACUAUCAUGAUAACCGAAACAAGAACUACAUGCCAACAACGCUACGACUUAGGAGGAAAUCCGACGAUUUCGAUAAAUAUCAACCCACCUCGAACGCUCAUCCAAUGUCAGCUACAAGUUGAAAGGAGAAACUCUGCAUGCUCGCUCAACCUCCAACGGCCUCAACUGCGAUGACCCACGCGCACGAACGGUUUCCUAGAAAGUAAAGAGUCCAAAUGAGCUCGAUCCUCGACUUCCCAACGAACGGCGUAUACAAGCUAGAGAGAGAGAGGAGAAGAGGGGAAGUAUGCUGGUUCUCUAAGCUUCUCAGGUGGAUAAAUAGGCUAGGGGUGGUUGGCGAUACAAUCGACAACCAAAAAAGAUCAAAAUACCCCUUACCAACUCAAAUCCGCCUUAGGGGUAUCGGUACUCAACUUGGGUAUCGGUAUUCGCCACGCCAGUUAGCAAAGUUCGCGCGCUGGGUACCGGUACUAGCCCGAUACAGUACCGGUACUUAGUCCCAGUACCGGUACUCAGCAUCAAAUUGCACAAACUCGAGAGCUCCCAGUUCUGAAAUCCCUCUGGGGUUCCAGUAUUUCUCUCCGGUAUCGAUACUCAACACUGAAAUCCUAUACUUUGCAGAUUUCAGUAUCAGAGCUCUACUUUUGCACUGCGCCGAGUCCGAUUUGCGUCUAAUUCGCACCAAAACGACUCCGACUUGUCCCAACACCCACUAGACGUGUCGACAAGCAACAGAUGCUGAAGUCUCUCAGACCGCUAAACCCCAGGAACACUACAAUUUAAAAGUUUGAUAUAAAAUUUUAAGAUUUAAAUUUUAGUUUGAAUUUAAUUAAUAAAUUUAAUUCUAUAUUCUGAGUUGUGAACUCAUUUUUAAAUUUAAUCUUAUAGUUUUAUAUUUUAAUUUAUUUUUUAUUUUCGAUAUUUUUCUAAUAAUUAUUUUUUUUUUCAUCUCAACCAAACAAUGAAGAUAGGAAUCAAUUACUCCGAUUUCAAUUGUUAUUAUAAACCAAACAUAUUAAAAAAUUUACCAUUCUGUUUCUGAUUCCAGUCUAUUAUCAUUUCCAUCCCGAUUCCAAUUACUAUUAUGAAUCAAAUGCGCCCCAAAAGAGUUUUCUCAACCCUUAAAUCUAAAGGUGUAAGACGCGCCCCAAAUGGCAUUUUUCUAAGUAUCAACUCUGUUAGAUAUGCCUCAAAUUUUGGUUAUUAAGUUCAAUUUUGUACAUCUAAUAUGCCAACAUUUUCGCGGUGCGACAAAUCUGAGAAAAUAAUUUGUAGAGGAAAAAAAAGAAUAUUUGUGGUGGAAGUAGAGGGCUCGGGCCAAUGAGAACUACUUUCUUCUUUUUGCCCUAGAAGUAGUACAAAGUAUUAUAUUUUUACAACAGAUAAUUUCAUCAAUACCCCUCUAGGAGACAGUAAUUUCAUAAAUACCUCUCUAAAUUAAAAAAAUAUCAAUAAUACCCCUCUAAAAAGCAAAAAUAUUCACAAUUACCCUUAAGACUAACAUUCCGUUAAAAGGUCAUCUAAAAUUCUAUAAAUACCAAUUUUACCCUUAUUACUAAUUUAAUUUAAUGUUGAAUAAUUCAACAUUCUCUUUAAAAUUUUACAAUUAAAGAUCUACAGUCUAUUAAGUAUAAUAAUUAAAUCUUGUUAUGAUUUUUCGCUUUCAAAUUAUAUAAUAGUUGUAAUGCAAUUGUCCAUUGUAGUAUUAUUCAACAUUAAAUAUUUCAAGAUUUUUUUUUGAAUUUUAUUUAAAUAACUUUCAUAAGUCAUAUUAAAAACAUUUUGAUAUCAAAAUUCUUGAUAUUAAAGUAUUUUUCAUAUGACCGGCUUAAGCAACAGUUUUCUAAUUGAACAUUUAUUGUCAACAAAAGAAGUAACAUUGUAUGAAGACCCUCUCAACUAUUAGUCCACUUCAGCAUGGUCUUAACUUU
rnacentral:lncRNA from 1 species